GCAUUUAUUCUUCCUUUCUAGCAGGAGCUGAUUUCAGGGUAAGCAAAUAGUCCCCAGUUGGUGAGGAAAAGCUCUGUCAGAAGAAUGUCAUCAAAUAAAUGCAGAAGGAAUUAUAAAAUAAGAAAAGCAAAAUUUUGGAAGCCCAAAUAAAAUUACUGAUUCAGGCAAAAACUUCAAUUGUUGUUUAAAAAAAUGCUGGGGAGCUACAUACUUGUAUAGUACCAAACAAACACAUCCCAGACAGCUUCUCAGUGGCAAGGAGGAAAAAACAUACAAUGAAGGGGUCAGGUUGUCAGCAUCCUCAUAUCUGGUGUAUAAACACAAAGAAAGAGGCAAAAAGAUAUGAAUGUGGGGCUUAGCAAUUGUAUAUUCCCUUUU
rnacentral:lncRNA from 1 species